GCGAGGUCUGAGGGAGAAAGCUCAAACCUGGGGCACCCCAGGGAGACCCAGGACCCGGGACCCCGCCCUGACCCUUCCCGGUCUCAUCCGGGUCUCACAUGGGAAGUCCUGCCUCUGCACCAUCUCGAGCCUCAACCUCCCCCCAAGCCCAGGCCUUCCAGGGGUCCCCAGGCCUCUCGGCCCCCACCUGACGCCAGAGGCCCCCCUUUUAUCCCGUGGGGCGUUCUCAGAUCCCUUUUGUUACCUGAACAAUAAGUAACCCAGGUAGUUAGUUAUAAACCCUGCGGGAACAGGAUCUGGUUGAUAAUUUAUAGCAACAUCUCAAAUUUAAAUGGAAAGUAAACAGCAUGCUGUUAGCAUUCAAGAAAACCCAGGCGGCUUGGGAGGGGAGCGGGCGGCCUCCCCGAGCUGGGGUGCCUUCUGCCCGCUGGGCCUGAGCCCCUCUCCCCUCCCGGGCAGCUCCAGCCUCUCUCUCCAUCACUCCUCUCUCUUCUUCCCUGUCUCCCCUCUCUCCCUCGGCCUCCAGGCUCUGCUGGUCCCCAGGGAGCACUUUGACCUCUGCUCCCCCCUCCAGCGCUGUGGAUCAAGUCUCCCCCCCAACCAUCCCACCAGGGGGGCUGCUGAGCCCGAGGCCCCAGCCAGCCAGCUCUCUGCUGUGGCCUGGGAAAGCGGUAGAAGAUGGCCCAAGUCCUUGGGCCCCUGCACCCAUGUGGGAGACCCAGAAGAUGGCUUCGGAUUGGCACAGUUCCGGCCGUUGCAGCCAUCUGAGGAGUGAACCAGCAGAUGGAAGACCUCUCUCUCUCUGUCUCUCCCUUUCUCUGUAACUCUACCUCUCAAAUAAAUAAAAUAAAAUCUUUAAAAAAAAAAAAAAAAAAAAACCUGUGAUGACCAAAAUAACAAACUUUUAAAAACAGGCUCCCGCCCCCACCACCCCACCCUGAGCCAAGCCCUGGGGCCGUCUCACCCUGCCCCUCUCUCCCAGCCUGGACGCCAGGCCUCACUGGUCCCCUCGGCCACUCUCAGAGGGCGCUCAGCCGCUAAGCAUGGGCAAGCGCCGUGCAGUGGGUUAACGGCGACCCCCCCACCCCCAGGUAGACUGAAGAGGUGGUUCAUCACUCACCAGCACCCUCCAACCACGUGUGGCUUCCAAGCACCCAGGAUGGGGCCACUGCCGCUUGCCUAAAUGAUGUUUUGGACAUAAUGGGUGAAGCUUACAACAUAAAAAUGUAGGAGUAGGCGUUUAGCCUAGCAGCUAAGACAGCAGAGUCCUGGGCACAGUGCCAGCCCUGCCUCCUGAUUCUCGAUUCCUGGCGGGCAGCGGUGACGGCCAGACAGGCGGGGCCCCCACCCACGUGAGAGAUCCCGACUGAACUCCGGGCUUCAGCCCAGCCCAGGCCCGGCUGUUGCAGACACUUUGGGAGCUCCCUGUCUCUCCAUCUCUGCCUCUCAAAUAAAAAAAAAUCAAUUGUAAAAUGAAUUAUAAUUAAUCAUAUUUUAACUAAAGCAUAAUAGUAACCAUAAUUAUAUUUGAUUAUAUAAUAAUCAUAUUAAAAUAUUCCCCUAUUAUCGGAGGGUACAUCAAAAAUUUCAUAGGAAAUGUAAUUUAAAAUAAUGCACAUUUCCAUGAACUUUUUGAAGACUUUUUGCACUUAAUUGUUACUAAUUAUAUUUAAUAUGUUAAUUAUAUUGUGUUUAAUUUUAAAAGUUACAAAAUAACUUCACUUUUUUUUUAACUUCUCUAAUAGUGCUUCUGGAAAACUUGAAAUGACACAGGUGGCUGAUUUUUCUUUUUUUUUUAAGGUUUAUUUUUAUUUAUUUGAAAGAGUAACAGAGAGAUGUAGAGACAGAGAGGAGAGAGGUCUUCCAUCUGCUGGUUCACUCCCCAGAUGGCUGCAACAGCUGUAGCUGUGCUGAUCCGAAGCCAGGAGCCAGGAGCUUCUUCUGGGUCUCCCACGUGGGUGCAGGGGCCCGAGCACUUGGGCCAUCUUCUACUGCUAUCCCAGGCCACAGCAGAGAG